rnacentral:rRNA from 1 species
GAUUUCUGGCUUGGUGCGCCUGGCCCAUACCCUUCAAGGUGUGAGUGCCGGUGCGCGCCUGCCAUCCCUUCUAGAAAAGCUGGGGGAGUUCUGCCCUUCAGUGGGCCGGGAUUCUCCUAUAGUUGAUCUAGAUCUUUUACUUUGAAAAAAUUAGAGUGUUUAAAGCAGGCUUGCGCUAUGAAUACAUUAGCAUGGAAUAAUAAUUUAGGACUUUGUUUCUAUUUUGUUGGUUUCUAGGAAUGAAGUAAUGAUUGAUAGGGACAGUUGGGGGUGCUAGUAUUCAUCGGCCAGAGGUGAAAUUCUUGGAUUCGAUGAAGACUAACUUAUGCGAAAGCAUU